UUUUUCUCUAGUAUUGUGAACACCCUUGUCACACCCUUCAACCCCACCAGUAGCACGGACCCAACACCCUGAUCAUGAAGGGCCCAUGGGAUCUGUGGUUGGGCAAUUCCAAAAAAAAAUUAAAAAUUAAAAAUAAAUAAAAAUAAAAAUAAAGUAAAAAAUAAAUAAAUAAAUAAAAAGGCGUUCUCUUCACUCGUUCAUUCAAUGCUUUUUUUAAUCAUCGUCAUCAUCGACAGUUUUAAUUGAAACCCUCUCCUCUCCUCUCCUCCUUCCCACACACGAAGAGAAACAAGCGCCUUGUAUGGAGCACUCCAGAACCCAAUCAUGAACGCACUCCAUGAUUCAUGAUGGCAUGCCAUAGCCAUCCACCCCCCGACCCACUGACGUAACAGAGCAUGCAUGCACAGCGCCGAUCACCAGCUCAUCGCUGCUGACUGCGUCCAUCCACGUUCUCGGCCAGGUGCUGUAUGGUUGGCAUAGUGGGGCACAAGAAAUGGACGUUGCGCUGAGGGUUUAUUGAUUGAAAAGAAAAGUAGGGGGUGAAAUCACAAUAAAAAUGAGAUAUGCAUAUCCUGAAGAGAUGGGGGACCAGGCCUGAGAGAGAUUGUUUAUUUAUUUAUUUAUUUUAUUCUUGUUCUGUUCUGUUCUGAACAUCUAGAACAGAGAUAGUCAAACGAACAAGGGGCAGACAAAAUUCGGUGGUUGGAGAAAUAUUUAAUAUAUUGGCUGACUGGCUCUCUCCAUGAAUAGUAGUUACUAGUUAGUGCUAGAUAAAUGAAUAAAAUUAUCCCCAGCACACCGUCCCUGGACCUUCUUCCAUCGGGGAACAACGCACC
rnacentral:sRNA from 2 species